CUGAAAGCCUGGAGCUAUGCGGCACAGCUGCCCUGAUGUUGGCUGCACGGACCAGCACAAAGUCUGCAUGUCCUCCCAUCAUCAGAGGAGGCUAAAAACCAGCGGGUUGACUUUAUUUUUGAUAGAAAUGUGACUAAAACGUCCCCACAACAACUGAAACUGCUUUUCCCAAGGGAGGACCAGCUCAACAAUGGACCGAUACCGGCUGUCUGUGACCCAACUUCACACUUGGAAGCUAUGAUCUGAGUAACGUGAUGAAGCUCAGGUGUUCCUGGACCCAUCAGAGGACAGAGACAGCUGCAGCAUCAGGACAGUAUGGGUAUCCAAAGGAAGAAGCAUCGAGAUGAACACUGACCGCAGAGCUCCAUUACCAGCUGACACUUCAAAAUGCAAGAAACUAUAUACCUCGACGGAGGACAUUAUCUGCACAGUUUACAUAAAAGUUACAGCUUUCCUACUUGCGUCAUACACGGUCUAUAUUUCUGUGUAACUGGGAUUUGAAUGAAACAUGAAUAAAGAGUUUUGCCUGACUUACUAUGAAAUAUGGAUAGUGUGCUGUCCACAGUAUAUAGGCAAGUUACUUUAUUAGAUCAGUAAUUCCUUCAGUUAUGUUGACAUGUUGCACAGGAUAAAGUAUUCCAGGCAGGUUUCUGCUAAUGCUGCUGCCUAAUGUGUACAAAGAGAAAUAACAGAUGGGAGGUUACAGCCAUCAUUAUACUAUUAUACUUUGGUACAUUUACUGGCUUUUUCUUCACUAGAAAUAAUUGCUUGUCAUUGUCUGUUUUAUAUCGUACUUUCCAUCCCCACAUCCUGAGAAGAGAGAGAUCCUCUAAGUGUUUACAUUACAUAAUAUGCUACAUGCACAUGCUAACACAUAACCACUGGGCUGUGAGGACUGUAGUAUUUACCUGAGGAAAACAUCAUGGAAACUUGUAAUCUUGAUUGUCGAUGUUAAUUUCCCCCUCGAUUUUUUGUCUAAACAUGUCACUAACAUGUCUGGUGGGGAAGUUUUUUGUUUAGAAGUAGUUAUUGAUUUAAUAUUCACGGUAGUAGUGAAAACACCAGCAAUGCUGAUGUGGAAGACAGAGGGUGGUACCUGCUUCAGCUCGUGUGAGUUGACCAAUCAGAGCAGACUGGGCUUUUCGGAAGGGGCCUUAAAAAGACAGGAGCUCAAACAGAGCAUUUCAGACAGAGCCUGAAAAGAGGUGCUUCAGCUAUUAGGCAGUAUGAGAAAAAUGAUGUGUUUUUUGAACAUGAAAACAUCUAAACCUAUUUUAGUAAACACACUAAAUAAAAUUAUCAACCUUAAAAUGGGCAUAAUAUUUCUCAUUUAAUAUAUUACUGCCCUUUCACAAAGGAUAGGUGUUAGGACAAAGCAUGGAGUACAGCCUUAUUGCAACUCGCAGUUGUACUUAGGCACAGCUAUGCUUCGGACUGAAUGCUAAUGUUACGCAGGUAUAGGUGUAUGUUUAAUGUGUUAACUAUCUUAGUAAUGCAUUUUAGCAUGCUAACAUUUGCUAAUUAGUAGUGCUGUCAGUUAAACGCGUUGUUAACGGCGUUAACGCAAACCCAUUUUAACAGCGUCAAUUUUUUUAUUGCGAGAUUAACGUUCUUUUUGGCCUAGCACUUUGUAGUUUUUUCACAUGCUGUUGUAACAACUAGUAACGUUAGAAAAACUACAACACCACACCAGAUCUAGCUAGACCGGAAAGAAAACAACAGGCACGCCGCACACACUUGUUUAAGAGUAGUAGACGUUACGCUUUGAGUGGAUGGCGAGCGUGAGGUGCCCGAAAUGGAUGCCAAUAAUAUUCUGAAUGGAAAGUUUACUUUUAAAAAGUUGCCAAAUGGUUCCAUUGACAAGACCAAAGUGAUCUGUGUGUUUUGUCGUUUGUCAGCACGUCCAGUCUGAAAUACCACUUGAUGGCCAAGCACACAGCUGAUGCGAAUUCUCCGCCCCCUCGAAAAAGCUAGGCGACAAUGGAUGAUUUUUCAAUAAAAACAACAUUUGCACAAAGCAAGCCGCUCCACUUUUCCAUGUUGAUAAGAGCAAUAAAAUGAGAAAAAAUAAUGGGACAAAAAGAAAUCAAGGGACAUUUAGAAUAGAUAAAAAUGUGCGAUUAAUUGCGAGUUAACUAUGACAUUAAUGCGAUUAUUCGCGAUUAAAUAUUUUAAUCAUUUUACAGCACUACUAAUUAGCAAUAAACACAACUCCUGAUGGGAAUGGCAUUAGUUUUUCCAGGUGUUUGAUCAUAAACCAAAGUAUUAGAAACAUUAUCUGAUGACAACACAUAAUCUGAUGGUGGUGCUAGAUGUAAAGUCAAGGAAUCACCAAAGUUACUCUGAUUCAUGAAUGUCUGUUCCACAUAUUUAGCAAUAUAUCCAAAAGUUGCAUGGCCAUUUUUCUCAAAAUGACAAAUAUGAACCUCAUGCGCUAUAGAAAUGUGCUAUAGAAAAGUCACUGGGUCAUCAAAGUCUGUUAGGCUUCGUCCUCUGUGAACCAUGGAAGUCUGUACAAAAUGUCAUGGCAAUGGACCAAAGUAGUGAAUCGACAGACAGAUUGACAUUCACAACCCUAGAAACAUGCCAAGCAAGCAUGUCUAAAAACAACUGCAGAAUAAAGGCUGAACUGUUGUUUUUUAAUGAUCCUUUUCUCUCAUUGGUGAGUACAUGUCCCACCCCCUCCUCCCCUCUUUGGUCCUCUGUGGCCUUUCAUUAACUCUGUUUCGUGGGACAAUCGGGUACAUCUGUUUCUCAGCAUCAGAUGGACUGGCUUUCCAUUUGAGAAUUCAUCACCUCCAAAAGGAUGCCUCUAUUUGCCCUCCAUCUUGGCUUGGCUGUAUCAUAGCCUGUCUGCCUGUCUUCAUAGCUGAUGCCAAGUCCUUACAGAUGCUUCAUCAUUUCCUCUUUCCAAUGCCAGUCAUUUUUCAGUCUUUUUCUUUUUUUUUAUGUAUUAUUAUUAUCUGCCCAGAGCGGGCACUCUCUGAAGGAGGCCUGUUUGUGCUACAGCCAGGCUCACAGCUAUUUAGUGGCUCUGCUGUUUUCCUUUCUUCUCCCUCUGUUCAGUUUGAAUACCCCAGGGAAAUUUGGCUGUGUCUCUGAUAUCUUUUUUGUCCUGCUGACCAGUUUUUAUUUCUCCUCAUCAGUUUGCCGUGUUUCAAGAUACUGUCACUGUCAUUUUGAUGCCUAAUUUUCUCCUAAGUGAUUUUACUGUAGUGCUGUCCAAAAGAUAUCUAUUACUAUCAUUGUACUCAUCAAACAAUAAAAAGUAAAAUAAAUUGAAACAUAAA